GUUCCAGACUCCUACGGGAGGCAGCAGUGGGGAAUAUUGCACAAUGGGGGAAACCCUGAUGCAGCGACGCCGCGUGAAGGAAGAAGUAUUUCGGUAUGUAAACUUCUAUCAGCAGGGAAGAAAAUGACGGUACCUGACUAAGAAGCCCCGGCUAACUACGUGCCAGCAGCCGCGGUAAUACGUAGGGGGCAAGCGUUAUCCGGAUUUACUGGGUGUAAAGGGAGCGUAGACGGCGGCGCAAGUCCGGAGUGAAAGCCCACGGCCCAACCGUGGGACUGCUCUGGAAACUGUGCGGCUUGAGUGCGGGAGGGGCAGGCGGAAUUCCUAGUGUAGCGGCGAAAUGCGUAGAUAUAAGGAAGAACACCAGUGGCGAAGGCGGAUGACUGGACGGCAACUGACGGUGAGGCGCGAAAGCGUGGGGAGCAAACAGGAUUAGAUACCCGGGUACA
rnacentral:rRNA from 1 species